AGAGUUUGAUCAUGGCUCAGGAUGAACGUUGGCGGUGUGCCUAAUACAUGCAAGUCAAACGGAGUUAAUAGCAAUAUUGACUUAGUGGCGAACGGGUGAGUAACGCGUUGGUGAUCUGCCUCGAAGUGUGGAAUAACGUUCCGAAAGGAUCGCUAAUACCGCAUGUGCUCUCGAUUUUUAGAAAGUUGAGAGUAAAGGAUUUAUUCGCUUCGAGAGGAGCCUGCGUCCCAUCAGCUGGUUGGUAGGGUAACGGCCUACCAAGGCUAUGACGGGUAGGGGACCUGAGAGGGUGGCCCCCCACAAUGGAACUGAAACACGGUCCAUACACCUACGGGUGGCAGCAGUAGGGAAUAUUAGAAAUGGACGAAAGUCUGAUCUAGCAACACCGCGUGUGCGAAGAAGGCCUUCGGGUCGUAAAGCACUUUUUGGAAGGAAUAGGAAGGAAUGUACUUCCAGAAUAAGUCUCGGCUAACUACGUGCCAGCAGCCGCGGUAACACGUAGGAGGCAAACGUUAUCCGGAUUUACUGGGCGUAAAGCGCGUGUAGGUGGUACUGUAAGUAGGGCGUGAAAGCUCCCGGCUCAACUGGGAGAGGCCGUUCUAAACUGCAGAACUAGAGGAUGGUAGAGGGAGGUGGAAUUCCAGGUGUAGCGGUGGAAUGCGCAGAUAUCUGGAGGAACACCAGUGGCGAAGGCGGCCUCCUGGACCAUUCCUGACACUCAGACGCGAAAGCUAGGGUAGCAAACGGGAUUAGAGACCCCGGUAGUCCUAGCCCUAAACGAUGUAGACUAGGCGUCGGUGGUUUAAUCACCAUCGGUGUCCAAGCUAACGCGAUAAGUCUACCGCCUGGGGACUACGGCCGCAAGGUUAAAACUCAAAUGAAUUGACGG
rnacentral:rRNA from 1 species